GACGAACGCUGGCGGCGUGCUUAACACAUGCAAGUCGAACGGAAAGGCCCUGCUUUUGUGGGGUGCUCGAGUGGCGAACGGGUGAGUAACACGUGAGUAACCUGCCCUUGAUUUUGGGAUAACUUCAGGAAACUGGGGCUAAUACCGGAUAGGAGCUCCUGCUGCAUGGUGGGGGUUGGAAAGUUUCGGCGGUUGGGGAUGGACUCGCGGCUUAUCAGCUUGUUGGUGGGGUAGUGGCUUACCAAGGCUUUGACGGGUAGCCGGCCUGAGAGGGUGACCGGCCACAUGGGGACUGAGAGACGGACCAGACGGCAACGGGAGGCAGCGGUGGGGAAUAUUGCACAAUGGGCGGAAGCCUGAUGCAGCAACGCCGGGUGCGGGAUGACGGCCUUCGGGUUGUAAACCGCUUUCGCCUGUGACGAAGCGUGAGUGACGGUAAUGGGUAAAGAAGCACCGGCUAACUACGUG
rnacentral:rRNA from 1 species